rnacentral:misc_RNA from 1 species
UACUGGUUAACGGGUGAGACAGGUAUCUCCACAUGUAUGCUUGAAAUUUCCAUAGCCUUGUUUCUCCUUCAAUCACUUAUUGUAUACAUGCACGAAAAUUGACUAAUAUUUGACCACAAGGCAUCUAAAAUAGUUAUGACAGAAGUUAACAAUUGUGUCAAAUCUAAUUGUUGCCCAUAUCUGAGGAUCUGAGGACCAGUAAAAUGUGAUGUGAUUGUGAGACCUGUGAUAUAAGUCUCUUUAUCUUUUCCCCUUUGACCUUGUGAAUUUCAAAUGCUGGGUUGUUCUAAAGUGCUUCUUUCUUAUACUAAUAUUCGUUUGUCUUUGUUCCAGG